rnacentral:rRNA from 1 species
GCCAGCCCGCUCAGAACUCAAAGGAAUUGACGGGGCCCGCACAAGCGGUGGAGUAUGUGGUUUAAUCGAUGCAACGCGAAGAACCUUACCUGGUCUUGACAUCCCGGAGACCCUUAGGAAACUAGGGGGUGCUUCCAUCUGGAAGAAUCUGGAGACAGGUGCUGCAUGGCUGUCGUCAGCUCGUGUCGUGAGAUGUUGGGUUAAGUCCCGCAACGAGCGCAACCCUUGCCUUUAGUUGCCAGCAGUUCGGCUGGGCACUCUAAAGGGACUGCCGGUGUUAAACCGGAGGAAGGUGGGGAUGACGUCAAGUCCUCAUGGCCUUUAUGACCAGGGCUACACACGUACUACAAUGGCCGAUACAAAGGGCAGCGACACUGCGAGGUGAAGCCAAUCCCGUAAAAUCGGUCUCAGUCCGGAUUGGAGUCUGCAACUCGACUCCAUGAAGUUGGAAUCGCUAGUAAUCGUGGAUCAGCAUGCCACGGUGAAUACGUUCCCGGGCCUU